rnacentral:lncRNA from 1 species
ACAAACACGCCGGCAGUGUCCCUACCUAGACAGAUGCGAACACAAAAGAGACUUUUCAGCUAAUAAGAUCCUCUGGUGUUUGCAGCUCUAAGCAGAGUCGGUAAUGAUAAAACACCCUAUUGCCAGUCAUGGAAAGAACUGAGAAUGUAGAACCAGAAGAACUAAAGUACCUGGAGGAGCCAAGGAACAAGAGAUCCAGACGGCUGGGCACAUGGCCCCUCAGAAUCACUCUGUUCUUCUCAUUGACCCCCCGCCCCCAGCAGAACUGGGUAUCUUGAAGGUCUUGGAAGGAGCAGAUAGAUAACAAUUUUAGCCACUUGCUGCCUGACCAUGAAUUUUCUACAGAGACAAUGGAUGAUCAUAGUGCAUCUGGCCCAAAGAGCCCGUGGUGGUAUAAUGCGUUAACACCAGAGUCAUGUGAGAGAAGAUAAAAUCAUCCUGGCAGGCAGGACGGGUUGGGAAGGGCUGGAGAGCAGGCAAGAGCAUGCUGUGUUGGCGCUGCAGUUGCCCGGAAUGGUGCUUCUCUGUGGCCCAGUGGCUCUAACGUAUCGGGAAGCUGGAAAGCUGGAAACACCAGUGCUGACGUCUUUCCUGAGCCAGAGCACGCCGGCAGCUGAGAAACCACACUCCUCUCAUCUUUUCAGCCAGACCAUGCUUUGGUCCAUUCUGUCACUCCCACCUCCCGCUUGGACACCCCGAGUCCCUCUGCCACCUGCCACUCUGCAAGACAAGUCCAGCUGCCCUGAUGGGGGAAACGGAUGGGGAAGGCUGAGCUCCCCCAGGCCGGAAAAAAGUAGCAGAACCGAUGCAUUCCCCGGGGAUGAACAGAAUUAACUGCUGGGAAGGGAAAGAGACCUGACUUGCAUCGUGGCACUGAAGGGUUUAUGAAGGGUCGUCAUUGAUCGCUGCUGUUGUGCUUCGUAGUUUGGGGACACUUUAUAAAAGCUAUGGAGACCACAUAGGAAAUAGGGCUGAAAAUGUCUGUCUGAUGGAAUUGGUCUGAAGGUUCAAUGAGAAAAUGUGAGAAAGUCAUACUCCAUAGUACUUGGUAUUUAAUAAAUGCUUAAUUCAU